GGUACCCUACUAGAAAGGAGCCGCUAACUUCGUGCCAGAAGCGUCGGUAAUACGGGGGCUCCAAGCGUUAUCCGGUGUUAUUGGGCGUAAAGAGUCGUGUAGGUGGUUGGGUAAGUUAUCUUUCAAAUAUCUUUGCUUAACAAAGAGGAGGGGGAUAAUACUGCUCGACUAGAAUUUUCUCAAGGGAGAUCGGAACUGAGGGAGGAGUAGUGAAAUGCGUUGAUACCCUCGGGAACACCAGUGGCGUAGGCGGAUCUCUGGGAGAAGAUUGACACUGAGACACGAAAGCUAGGGGAGCGAAGCAGAUUAGAGACCUGCGUAGUCCUAGCCGUAAACGCAUGCUUGCUAGCUGCAUGAAUCUACCUUCGGGUGGUAUCGUGUGGCGAAGGUAACCCGUUAAGCAAGCCGCCUGGAAAGUACGGCCGCAAGGCUGAAAUUCAAAGGAAUUGGCGGGGAGGCACACAACCAGUGGAACAUGUGGUUUAAUUCGAGACUAACCGAAGAACCUCACCAGGGUUUGACAUGUAGCUGCACGUCUUAAGAAAUUAAGACUCUCUUGAAGGUGCUACACAGGUGCUGCAUGGCUGUCGUCAGCUCGUUCCGUGAGGAGUGCCCUUAAGUGGGACAACGAGCGCAACCCCUAUUACAUGUUAGAAAUGUCAUGUAAGACUGCCUUGCCAUUUGGCGGGGAGGAAGGAGGGGCAGACGUCAAGUCCGCAUGGUCCUUAUGCCCUGGGCUACACACAUGUUACAAUGAGUACGGCAAUGAGUCUGUCGCGAGCACGUAAGUGUAAGCUAAUCUCUUAAAUGUACUCUCAGUGGGGAUUGAGGUCUGCAACUCGACCUCAUGAACACGGAAUUGGUAGUAAUCGCGGGUCAGCUAUACCGCGGUGAAUACGUUCUUGCCUCUUGCACACACCGCCCGUCAAACCAGCAAAGUCGAUUGUAUCCGAACCU
rnacentral:rRNA from 1 species